UUAUUCUUUUUUUUGGGUUUUGUACUUGAGUCUCCUCCCUUGCCAGCACACCUGAAGUGAAAGAAAGAAAACCGGUAUAACACAAACAAAGGACACCACAAGAAAUCAAUGAUUCAAAAUGACAAAAGAGCGAGGCAUAGGAGAAAGCAGAGUCUUGGCUGUAGUGAAUGAGAGGAAGAAUAGUAGCUAUAGGAAUAAGAAAAGGAAUGUAGUUAGAAAGCAUCUUUUCAUAGCAUAUGUAGCUUCUGAUACUGGAACAGAAAGAUGAGUGGGAGCUCUUGUUCACUUGUUAAAAAGUCUUUGCUCGCACCAAGAUCAAGAUUAGCCUUCUCUUUGAAUCGAGUUCUUUAGCUUGAGUUCUAGUUGCUAUAAAAAAAAGGAUCAUUUCGAGUUUUUUGAUGGACUAUAUAAGCUGUGCCUUAUGAGCUUCUUAUUUGCUUCUUUCGACUUUUAGGCUUGUUAGCUUCGCUACCUCUGCUCUGGAAGCAGCUCCUGCCUAUGUCAGCGGGGUAAGUAAAGGCAAGCAAGAACAACUCGUUCCUUUCUUUCCUUACCAGAGCAAUUUUUUCAUUUUCAUAUCGCAUGAGGAGCAAGAUGAAAGCGUCUGCCAUCUAUGGUGUAACCAAGAGUGUCGAGACUGCCCUUUGGGGAUGAAAAGACCUCACCAACCUUGAUGAUUUUAAGGUGAUAUUGGGCAUGGAUUGAUUCUUAAGCACCUCCAAGCCAAGGCAGUUCCCCACCUAGGCAUUUUUCUUUUUCCUGCGGAGAAGACUAAGAGGA
rnacentral:lncRNA from 1 species